UAGUUAGUAGCUCAGUAGUAGUGUGCAUGCAUGGUGUUCAUGAUGUCCUGGGUUCAAUUCCCAGCUCGCAG